CUAGCCGUAAACGAUGGAUACUGGGCGUUGUGAGUAUCGACCCUCACAGUGUCGUAGCUAACGCGUUAAGUAUCCCGCCUGGGGAGUACGCGCGCAAGCGUGAAACUCAAAGGAAUUGACGGGGGCCCGCACAAGCGGUGGAGUAUGUGGUUUAAUUCGAUGCAACGCGAAGAACCUUACCAGGACUUGACAUGUCGCGAAUCUCAGGGAAACUUGAGAGUGCCUUCGGGAGCGCGAACACAGGUGGUGC
rnacentral:rRNA from 1 species